rnacentral:rRNA from 1 species
AUACAGAGGGUGCAAGCGUUAAUCGGAAUUACUGGGCGUAAAGCGCGCGUAGGUGGUUAGUUAAGUUGGAUGUGAAAGCCCUGGGCUCAACCUGGGAAUGGCAUUCAAGACUGGCUGACUAGAGUAUGGUAGAGGGAAGGGGAAUUCCAGGUGUAGCGGUGAAAUGCGUAGAUAUCUGGAGGAACAUCAGUGGCGAAGGCGCCCUCCUGGACUAAUACUGACACUGAGGUGCGAAAGCGUGGGUAGCAAACAGGAUUAGAAACCCUAGUAGUCC